UGGCAAAAGUUACAAGAAGGGUGGUGAGAUUUUUAGCAAGUGUUGCUAGUGUGCCCUAGGGUUUGGUUUUUACAUGUGUUGGAGCCAAAAAUCAAAUCCUAGGUUGUGUGACUUUUGAAGAGUGUCUUCUUGGUGUUAUUCUGGUGGCAAGAUCGAAUAUAACUAGAUUUUGGUGUGAUCAUGACGUAAGUUCAAAGCCGACAGUAUUUUGAAAAGACAAGGCUGUGGCAGCGCACC
rnacentral:lncRNA from 1 species